ACCAGCAGUCAUGUCACCCUGCCAUGUCAGCAGGUGUGAGCCUGGUCAGUACCUGGAUGGGAGAUCUCCUGGGAAAAACUAAGGUAUGCUGUUGGAA
rnacentral:rRNA from 1 species